GGCCUACCAUGGUGGUAACGGGUAACGGGGUGUUAGGGCACGACACCGGAGAGGGAGCCUGAGAAACGGCUACCACAUCCAAGGAUGGCAGCAGGCGCGCAAAUUACCCAAUCCCGACACGGGGAGGUAGUGACAAUAAAUAACAAUACGGGGUUCUUUCGGAUUUCGUAAUUGGAACGAGUACAAUUUAAAUCUCUUAACGAGGAACAAUUGGAGGGCAAGUCUGGUGCCAGCAGCCGCGGUAAUUCCAGCUCCAAUAGCGUAUAUUAAAGUUGUUGCAGUUAAAAAGCUCGUAGUUGAAUUUCGGGGUCAGUAGAUUGGUCAUGCCUCCGGUAUGUACUGGUCUUACUGGCUCCUCCUUCCUGAUGAACCGUAAUGCCAUUAAUUUGGUGUUGCGGGGAGACUGGACUGUUACUUUGAAAAAAUUAGAGUGUUUAAAGCAGGCUAACGCUUGAAUACAUUAGCAUGGAAUAAUGAAAUAGGACGUUCGAUCUUAUUUUGUUGGUUUCUAAGAUUGACGUAAUGAUUAAUAGGGAUAGUUGGGGGCAUUAGUAUUCAAUUGUCAGAGGUGAAAUUCUUGGAUUUAUUGAAGACUAACUACUGCGAAAGCAUUUGCCAAGGAUGUUUUCAUUAAUCAAGAACGAAAGUUAGGGGAUCGAAGACGAUCAGAUACCGUCGUAGUCUUAACCAUAAACUAUGCCGACUAGGGAUCGGAUGAUGUUAAUUUUUUAAUGACUCAUUCGGCGCCUUACGGGAAACCAAAGUGUUUGGGUUC
rnacentral:rRNA from 1 species